rnacentral:rRNA from 1 species
ACGCUCGACACCUACGGGAGACAGCAGUAGGGAAUCUUCCACAAUGGGCGCAAGCCUGAUGGAGCAACACCGCGUGAGUGAAGAAGGGUUUCGGCUCGUAAAGCUCUGUUGUUGGAGAAGAACGUGCGUGAGAGUAACUGUUCACGCAGUGACGGUAUCCAACCAGAAAGUCACGGCUAACUACGUGCCAGCAGCCGUGGUAAUCUGAGCGGGCUGGCAAGGC